CAUUAUGGGGUGUGAUGAUUGAUAGCCUCAACAGUAGCAACUUAGAGAAGGACAGAAGGUAUGAGCUGAGAUGAUCGAUAGCCCCACCAAUUGCAGAUAAGAGAUGGGUAGCUUGUAUGGAGUAUGAUGAUUGAUAGCCACACCAGUAGUGAAUUAGAAGAGGGCAGCUGGUAUGGGGUACGAUGACUGAAAGCCCCACCAUUAG